UUUCCUUUUUUAUAUUCUCCAAUCUAAAUCAGAUUCCAUCAAAAAUUGAAGUUUAAAUUCAAGUUAAAUGCACAAACAAAAACUCCAGCACGCAGUGCACAAACAAAAUAUUUAUUUUAAGAAAAUAUCCUUCUAAAUGUAUAAUCCAUAUAAAAACCCUCCAAUCCAAUAUUCAAAUAAAUCAUAGAAGAUCUUUCUAUUUAAAUAUCAAAUUAUAAUUUUUGGCAUUACACACGGGUUGGAAGAAGGAUUUUCUUAAAUACCAUGUUGCGAUAUCCUAAUUUGAAUCGACUCUGCUUAGAGGACAUCAUGUACAAAUAAGCAAGACAAAUAGUCAUACAUACAUCAAUACAUUACACUAGUUCACACUUUAUUUCUAAUUAAUUAGUGCAUUCUAGGCAACAUAAACAAUUGUUCUUGCUUCCUGUGGCAGUGGCUAUCUACAAAUGAAUCUAGCUUCUGGGUGAUAUUGUCAACCUAUAGAUGAAGCCUUAUGAUCCCGAGAGGCAAAGAGUCAUCCUUCAGAUAGAUCACAACUUAUAUACUAAGAGUAAAUAUAAAUUUUACAACAUAAACUUCAUAUCGAAAGUUAAACUCUCAUGAAGUUUGUCACAUAUAAACAAUUCAAUAUGCUGAAAUUCAACUGAUAUUUAAUUUUCAGUAUGAAGACAAUCUAACAUGUUGAAAUCUUUUGUCUAUGUUUUGACUCAUCAACUUUUCAAAGGUUACAGAUUUGUAUGUAUACUGUUAAAUAAAAACCAUCUUAAGAACUAAAUUAAUUAAAUAACAUAUAAGAUUAGUGUUUGUAUUUAAAUAAGAACACCUUUAUGAUUACACAAGGGCUUCUAUGCUCUACCACUACUUUUUUCUCUUUUUAAUUUCUGCUUUCU
rnacentral:lncRNA from 7 species